GAUAAAAUUGUGUCACACAAGUCAACCUCUGUGAUAUCAGUGUGUCAUGGAGGUUAACCUCUGUGAUAUUAGCAUGUCAUGCCAGUGUUUUAAUUUUAUCCAAUUUUGUUUUAUUACUUGGGGUGACGGGUUUUUGGUCUUACCCGUUGUUCGACUUAUAAUUAUAAAAGUGAUAUUUAUCAUUAGUUUUCAAAUAUAGAAAUCUACUUUAUUCAUUUAUAACUCUCC
rnacentral:lncRNA from 1 species